CCUACGGGAGGCAGCAGUGGGGAAUAUUGGGCAAUGGAGGAAACUCUGACCCAGCAACGCCGCGUGAAUGAUGAAGGUCUUCGGAUCGUAAAGUUCUUUUCUAAGGGAAGAAGAAAGUGACGGUACCUUAGGAAUAAGCCUCGGCUAACUACGUGCCAGCAGCCCCGGUAAUUCGUAGGAGGCGAGCGUUAUCCGGAAUGACUGGGCGUAAAGGGUGCGUAGGUGGUUUGGCAAGUUAGUAGUGUAACUCCAAGGCUCAACCUUGGAACUACUACUAAAACUGUUGGACUUGAGUGAAGGAGGGGCAGCCGGAAUUCCUAGUGUAGCGGUGGAAUGCGUAGAGAUUAGGAGGAACACCAGUGGCGAAGGCGGGUUGCUAGACUGUAACUGACACUGAGGCACGAAAGCGUGGGGAGCAAACAGGAUUAGAUACCCUAGUAGUC
rnacentral:rRNA from 1 species